rnacentral:ncRNA from 1 species
AGUGGGGGUGUCUGAGAGAUGAUCUCUCAGGCUGAGAUUAUACCCAUAGAACCUGAUGCGGAUAAUCCCGCCGAAGGAAAAACU